UGUCCAGCAACUCCUAUCCCUACCUCCUCGCGGUACUGAUCGGGGUACGAGCAAUCUAACGGGUAAUCAACCUCGGUGGGAACUUUGAUCGUAUGCUGAAAAGGAAGG
rfam:Aedes aegypti strain Liverpool supercont1.226 genomic scaffold, whole genome shotgun sequence.